CAACUACACAGAGUUCUCUAGCUCUGUGCAGAGCAGGGGAAUCAUAGCUCAAGGCUGUGAAACACCAAGCAGCACUGGAGCAGACCCUAAUGCAAUGAUGGGGACUGUGCUGUUGCAUGAGAGGGAGGAGCAACGUGGCUCUAAACUCACUUCAAAUGCCUGCAGUUAGGACCAUAGGCCCUACCCUGCAUUACCAAGGAAGUGAAGAGGAGAAAAUAGAAUGUGGCAAACCAGGAAGAAGGAGCCAUUGGGAAAUACUAAGAGGAAUGUCCUGUAGAAAAUCUCCAUGGGAGAAGGUCCUAUUUAAGUUCUGUUGAUGGUAAAAUACUAUCAUCUGAAGAUCUUUCAUCUCAAGUAAGGGAGGAGGAAGACGUAAUGCUAGCUGGACUGAGUGCAUACUAUGUGGCAGUUGUUGCAUGUGCCAUCAGCUGGAUGCUACUGCUGGAAUACAGAGGGAAACGUUUGUAGGGAGCUUUAUAGCCAUAAGAAUAAUGCAAGUCUAAAAAGUACCUAUAAAUGCAAGAAUCUAAUCACAGGGGUCUAUUUCAAGUGACUAUGAAAUCCCACUUUUAAACCAUUUUGAUGCUUGUAACAAAGAGUUGUCAGGCUUUUUUUGUAAUUUCCCUGUAACAAAUACUUUAUUUGAAGAACCCCUUCUAGCUUUAAAUAAAGAAAAUCUAAUGAUAAUGUAACUGCUGGUA
ensembl:lncRNA